CGUUUGCUACUAAACUUUGCCGAAUGUCAUCGAUCGCUGUUCAACAUCACUACAUGGCUAAUUAUGUGUUUUAGCUAGUUGGUUGUGAUACGCCCCUAGCUUCAUUACUGACCCGAAAUCAAAGGUUUAACAUCAAAGAGAGCGAACUGAACUAAUUGGCUGCUAUGACAACUGACAAGGCGACACCUCCAAUGGCUACUGCAGUGGCACCGAAGAGCCAUUUCCAGCUGACAACCUGUGGACAAUAUACAAUAAAUUUUGUCGACAUGAGCAGGUGAAGCAUCUUGAGAGGAUGGUCUCACCCAUGACGACCUGGCCUGGUGUUUCUGCAUGCCGCUGCUGCC